GCGGCUGCGGCGGCAGAAGAAGCAGUUACUUGACUGGUGACUGCCGUAGCGGAAACAUCGCUGCUGCAACUGUUUCAGAUCUCUUCCAACAAGAGGAACCACUCCUAGACUGGAAUUUGAUGGGGGCUUAGAAGUGAUUAAGACAGAGAAGCCAUUCAUAGACUGGACUUAAAUCAGGUACUGAUCCUCCUGCAUACAUCACCUGGGUUAUAACCAUGUUGUAAUGUCAAUUUCUAAUAAAGUACAUUUUUAAACAUUUAAUAUUAUCCUGUAUUUGCUGAUUUCUAAAUCAAUAAAGUAUCUUAAUUAAAUAAAA